CCUAAGCUAAAAUGAUAUUGGAACAAAACCAUGACCCUCACCAAAACAAAUGUGUGGCUUCCCUUAUAGGGAGAAGGGCAUCCUUCAGGUUCUAAUCCUCUUGGGCUAGAACAACUGCCCUGUCCACAGGGAGAGGAGAGGGCUAAAGACCGAGGCUAGACAGGAGAGACAAGAGACAGCAAAGUGGGAGACCCUCCAUAGACAGACCUAUGCAGCUACUCUUUAGUGAUGCGAUUUGAACAUACAAGUGUCAGAUGUUAUGAGAAAAUCACGAAGCAGCGCCUGCGUGGCUUGUGCAUUCUCACCGACUUGUCUCACUUAACAUCGAGCUGUGUCUGCUUCACUGGAGCCUCUCCUGCAGAGAGGGCAGGAGGGCAGGAGAGCAGGGGGACCCCUCCUAGAGGCCCCCAAGGGCUGGGCCUAAGCAGACACCCCACAGCUAACUGCUGAACUCACCCAUCCCCUGGCCUCGAGCAGGCACCCACUCUGGGCCCUGCCUGUGCCGGGCGCCGGGACACACAGAUAAGCACACACAGGGCACCCGAGCUCCCUCAGCAAGUCCAGGUGAGCAAACGCAGAUGGCCAGCAGAAAGGGGAGCUCCUUUGGAGGACCAAGUGCCAGGAGAGGUCAGAGGAGCAAGCCUGAGCCACGAUGGGAAGUCCCCAUGCAACACUGGCUGCACCUCGCAGGAGGAGAGAGGUGGAGAGGGCAUGGCAUGAAGCCAAGCCUGGAAUACACGGCCCCGGGGCAGUACAGGCCCCGGCAACUGGCUGAAGACAAACUGCCACAGAGUGAUGAGCACCCUGGAGAACUGGAAUUGGGCCACACAGGCCAGCACCAGGUGGCUGCUUUAGCCCGGGUGGUCCACACGGCUUUGCCGGGAAGGGGACAUUUCAGUCAAAAUCUAGAAAACAAGGAGCAAACCAGGUAGUGAGUGAGUUCUGGCUCUAAGAGUUCAUGCAAGAGCUGAUUGUUUAAAGAGGCUGGCACCUCCUCCUCCCUCUCUUGCCACGUGAGACCCCGCUGCCCCUUGGCCUUCUGCCAUGAUUGAAAGCUUCCUGAGGCCCCACUGGAAGCAGAUGCUGACACCGUUGCUUCGUGUACAGUCUGUAGAACUAUGAGACAAAUAAACUGCUUUGUAAAUACCCAGCCUCAGUAUUCCUUUAUAGCAGUGCAAAACAGACUAAUCAAAGGGGGAAGCAUUUCCAGGUAAAGAAGAUAACCAAUUAUUGUUAUUGUAAUAUCUAAAGAAACCGUAAAUUUCAAAGGUAAAAUCUAACCUUAUUCUAGUGCCCAAGGAAGUGCUGGGAAUGUUUAAAUAAGAGGGCAGCAGGGAAUGGAAGGAGCGCCUCGGAAAUGCCUACUCCAUGCCAGGCUCCCUACUACAGGCUUUACGUGUUAUCUUGUACAUCUCAGUAAGAUGAGCAGACAUGGUGCUUUUUAAAAGACGUCAUGGGAGUUUGAAAGGGGGAAGAUUGGGUAAAUGGAAAAACAGAAGUCAUGGCUUUGCAAAAGUUGAAUCAAACUGCUCCUUGGCCCGGCCCCAUCACACACACAGAUCCCCCUUGGCAUGGCCAAAAUGAGUGUGUUCAUUGGCAAAUCAGCAGCCACUCUUGGAAGCUCUGACUUCUCUGGAAGGCAGAUGACAGAAGCAGUCUAUUUUAUUCCUAUUUUAUAGAUGAGGGAACUGAGGCUCAGAAACAAACACUCAUCAUUUGAAUACAGGAGCCAUUACCGAAUCAAACCUCUCUGGAAACCGCCUGAACUCUAUGUGAUCCAGGAAGGGGAAAGACUGUGUGCUCAGUUAGAGAAAGACUAGAGAUGGUCACACCAGCUACCAUUAGUUGAGACCUUACCAGACACAGUGCUCACCACUCCACAGUCACAGACAAACAUCUCACUUAAAACUCCAAAGUGGCCGGGUGCGGUGGCUCAUGCCUGUAGUCCCAGCACGUUGGGAGGCUGAGGUGGGCGGAUUAAGAGGUCAAGAAUUUGAGACCAGCCUGGCCAACAUGGCGAAACCCCGUCUCUACUAAGAAUACAAAAAUUAGGGCUGGGCGCGGUG
rnacentral:lncRNA from 1 species